rnacentral:rRNA from 1 species
GACGAACGCUGGCGGCGUGCUUAACACAUGCAAGUCGAACGGAAAGGCCCUGCUUUUGUGGGGUGCUCGAGUGGCGAACGGGUGAGUAACACGUGAGUAACCUGCCCUUGACUUUGGGAUAACUUCAGGAAACUGGGGCUAAUACCGGAUAGGAGCUCCUGCUGCAUGGUGGGGGUUGGAAAGUUUCGGCGGUUGGGGAUGGACUCGCGGCUUAUCAGCUUGUUGGUGGGGUAGUGGCUUACCAAGGCUUUGACGGGUAGCCGGCCUGAGAGGGGGACCGGCCAAAUUGGGACUGAGAUACGGCCCAGCCUCCUCCGGGAGGCAGCGGUGGGGAAUAUUGCACAAGGGGCGGAGGCCUGAGCCAGCAACGCCGGGGGCGGGAUGACGGCCUUCGGGUGGUAACCCGCUUCCGCCUGUGACGAAGCGUGAGUGACGGUAAUGGGUAAAGAAGCACCGGCUAACUACGUG